GCCCCUUUCAACCCCUUGCUUCAACACCUCUGUGUUCUCCAAGCAGCUCCCUUUGGUCGAUAGAAAGAUAGACUGCAACUCCCAUACAUGGCCUCUGCCAUCACGUUGUAGGAUUUACACCGAUUCUGUUCUCCUUAGCUUCCUUGGUAGCAACGUUCGCUUACUCGACCUUGUCCUCUGACUUGUCAGGCUCCCUUAAGCGAAUAUGGGCUCUGGAGUAGUCCAACUCUCCAGCUGCUUCGAUCAUACCUCUGCAUGAUCAAGUCCCUCCCAUGGGACUCACUGGUACUUGCAUUCAAACUUUUCCCUUGGUGGAACACGGCCCCCAUAUGCUGAUGACCAAGGCUUUCAUCCGAUGUAAAAUUUGAUGCACGCACGGAAGACCCGCCUCUGCGGUACCAUGGCCUUCACUCCUUGAAUCUAUAGCCCUUCUUGCCAUCGUGUUGUUCACCGAAGUGGAGCUUCCAGUAGCUCCCGAUCAUACCUCCGUAUGAUCUAGUCCCUCACGGGACUAUGUCAUGUGUAUCGCAUUGCCACGAACUAUUCCACCAUGAUCCGCUGCACCAUAUUGCCUCCUGGUGACAUCUCUAUUGCAUUCUGAUCCUUGUGGGAUGAACUCAAAUUGUGAUCCCUCCAUGUGUGGCCUUUGCCAAUACAUCGUAGGGUCUCUUUCACCUUCGAUUUU
rnacentral:lncRNA from 1 species